ensembl:lncRNA
CUUGUGAGUGGGUUUUCACAUGUCAUCGGGCUAGAAAUUUCUUCGGACCUGGCAACCCUGGAGAGCUUUCAGUUGACGUAGAACGCCUCCUGGCGGCUAUGUUGGAAGACUACUGCAUUAAUUAUUCUGACUACAGCCGAGGGGCUACCCCAAACUGAAUGAUAAAAGUGACUAGAACUAGUUGAUUCAUCACCACGGUCAUUUUCUGUGGAGUAUAUGGCUGCUCAAACGAGGCCGGAAACACAAAGGGGGGAAAAGAUGUUUACAGAUUCCCCGCAAUCAUGAAACACCAUUGGCAAUACCAAUGAGAUAAGACUCAAGAACUCAGAGAAGCGAAGAAACCUUUUUGCCCGUCAAGACCUCAACCCAGACAGCUGUCAAUACAGGGUUUGCUACGAUCAUUUCAUCAUUGAGAACACUUCAAAAUGAGAAGAUCCUGCCAUGGAAAAGAAGACUGGGUGGACAUAACGUGUAAAGGAGGGGAAAUAACUCAUAACAUGCAGCAGGACACCUUCAGCUGUGGGGUCUUUGUAAUUGUAGAUGGCCAAGGAAGUUGCACAGAACUUCCCCAACAUCCCCUUCCAAAUUGAUAUGGAACCUUCAAAAGCACAUGGAGCAACUGCGGAAAGAAAUGGCUGAGGAUAGACAAAAAAUGUCUGAGUUCAACAAAGCCAACAACUGCUUCAUGUGGGCCACUGAUAAAGAACCUGGAUGUGGCCCAAAGACUGACUGGGAAUGAAGACAAAAGAGUUCAACAGAGUAAAGAACACAAACUGGAAGUGCUGUCUUUGUUGUUAAAAAUUAGGUUCACCAGCUGACCUAUAUCAAGACACCCAGGUUGACUGGAUUCCCCCUGUGAAGAUGAGUAAUGCUGCAGCAGCAUCAGUUUCUACUACUUCAUCUUUUUCCAGACAUGAAAGAAGACUCCCCUCAGUUAUAUGACAUGGUUGUCAUAUGCUGUGCUUUGGACAAUUUGAAUGAUUCUGUUGUGUCAAUUGAGUAGAGCACCUUGUCAUGACAAAAGUGCCCCCUUAAACUGUAUGAAUAUAAUGUAUUUGGAACGUUUCAAAGACUUGUUGAUAUUGUAAACAUACUGUACUUUAAGCCAUAUUGUUGUCCAAGUGUAAAGACAAGUAUUUUGUCAUCUUUGCUUUGCCUAGCCCCAUUGAAUAAAAAGUAUUUCUUAUGGCCCAACUAUUGCCAUGUUCCUUGCUUUUCAGAAACGUGGUUCUCAAACAAGGUGCACCCCAUGGCUAUCCAACUCGAUGGAUUCUUCUUUCACCAGGCAGACAGGAUAGUGGAGUUGGUUCCGGUCAUUUUAAUUUGGCGUCACUAAAUCAAAAAGAUAUAUAAUUCACAUGCGCCAAAUACAACAGGUAUAGAUAGACCUUACAGUGAAAUGCUUACUUACAAGCCCUUAGCCAACAAUGCAGUUAGGAAAAAUAAGUGUUAAAGUAUUUACUGAAAUAAACUGAAGAAAAUAAUGAAUAAAAAAAUUGGUGCAACAAUAAAAUAACAUUAGUCAAGGUAAUAUGUACAUGUAGGUAGAGGUAAAGUGACUAUGUUUGUAUAAUAAACAGAGUAGCAGAAAAAGUUUGGCAUGGGCUCUCAAAUCCUGAAAAGGUUCUACAACUGUACCUUUGAGAGCAUAUGGACUGGCUGCAUCACUGCUUGGUAUAGCAAUAGCAUCGCCCUCGAUCGCAUGGCGCUACAGAGGGUUGUAUGGGCAGCCCAGUACAUCACUGAGGCCGAGCUCCCUGCCAUCCUGGACCUCCAUAUCAGGUGAAAGACCCCAACCACCCAUGCCAUAGAUUCUCUGCUGCAGCACAGCAAGAGCUUGAACAGCUUCUAUCCCCAAGCAAUACGACUGAUAAUUAGCUAACAAAAUUGCUACACGGACCAAGUUUACCUUGCAUCUUUAUUGACCUUUUAUUUCAGUGUUUUACACCGUCUAUGCACACUCACAGGGCCCUACACACUGUCACUCCAAAACAAACACUCCAUUUUCUCACUCACACAUAAUAUGCACAUACAUUUAUACAAGCUACACACCCACACGCUGCUGUUACUCUGUUUAUCUUAUAUCCUGUUGCCUAAUCACCUUACCCCUAUACAUAUCUACCUCUAUCACCCCAGUAUCCCUGCACAUGUAAAUAUGGUAUUGGAACAAACUUUUUAAAUAUUUCCUGUAUAUAGUAUGUUUGUUUACUUUAUUGUGUAUUUCAUAUUUCUUGUGUGCUUUUUUCUAGAAAUACAUUUGAUUAUUGCAUUGCUGGUUUUUGAGUUUGCAUUAAAGGCAUUUUACUGUGCAUGUGACAUUAA